UACGGGGGGGGCAAGCGUUGUUCGCAAUUACUGGGCGUAAAGGGCUCGUAGGCGGCCAACUAAGUCGGACGUGAAAUCCCUCGGCUUAACCGGGGAACUGCGUCCGAUACUGGAUGGCUUGAGAUUGGGAGAGGGAUGCGGAAUUCCAGGUGUAGCGGUGAAAUGCGUAGAUAUCUGGAGGAACACCGGUGGCGAAGGCGGCAUCCUGGACCAACACUGACGCUGAUGAGCGAAAGCCAGGGGAGCAAACGGG
rnacentral:rRNA from 1 species